UGGGGAAUUUUGGACAAUGGGGGCAACCCUGAUCCAGCAAUGCCGCGUGUGUGAAGAAGGCCUUCGGGUUGUAAAGCACUUUUGUUCGGGAAGAAAGCGCACUGGUUAAUACCUGGUGUGGAUGACGGUACCGGAAGAAUAAGCACCGGCUAACUACGUGCCAGCAGCCGCGGUAAUACGUAGGGUGCAAGCGUUAAUCGGAAUUACUGGGCGUAAAGCGUGCGCAGGCGGUUUGUUAAGACGGAUGUGAAAUCCCCGGGCUCAACCUGGGAACUGCAUUCGUGACUGGCAGGCUAGAGUAUGGCAGAGGGGGGUGGAAUUCCACGUGUAGCAGUGAAAUGCGUAGAGAUGUGGAGGAACACCGAUGGCGAAGGCAGCCCCCUGGGCCAAUACUGACGCUCAUGCACGAAAGCGUGGGGAGCAAAC
rnacentral:rRNA from 1 species